AGCGAACGCUGGCGGCAGGCCUAACACAUGCAAGUCGAACGAAGUCUUCGGACUUAGUGGCGGACGGGUGAGUAACACGUGGGAACGUGCCUUUAGGUUCGGAAUAACUCAGGGAAACUUGUGCUAAUACCGAAUGUGCCCUUCGGGGGAAAGAUUUAUCGCCUUUAGAGCGGCCCGCGUCUGAUUAGCUAGUUGGUGAGGUAAAGGCUCACCAAGGCUACGAUCAGUAGCUGGUCUGAGAGGAUGACCAGCCACAUUGGGACUGAGACACGGCCCAAACUCCUACGGGAGGCAGCAGUGGGGAAUCUUGCGCAAUGGGCGAAAGCUUGACGCAGCCAUGCCGCGUGAAUGAUGAAGGCCUUCGGGUCGUAAAGUUCUUUUGGUAGGGAAGAAAAUGACGGUACCUACAGAAUAAGCUCCGGCUAACUUCGUGCCAGCCGCCGCGGUAACAC
rnacentral:rRNA from 1 species